rnacentral:sRNA from 1 species
CGACUCGAGCGCCAGCGAGAAAGCGUUGCCGCAGGCAACGACCCGAAGGGUGAAGCGCGCAGCGCUGAGUAAUCCUUCCCCCACCACCA